UACGUAGGGUGCAAGCGUUAAUCGGAAUUACUGGGCGUAAAGCGUGCGCAGGCGGUUUUGUAAGUCUGUUGUGAAAUCCCCGGGCUCAACCUGGGAAUGGCAAUGGAGACUGCAAGGCUAGAGUUUGGCAGAGGGGGGUAGAAUUCCACGUGUAGCAGUGAAAUGCGUAGAUAUGUGGAGGAACACCGAUGGCGAAGGCAGCCCCCUGGGUCAAAACUGACGCUCAUGCACGGAAAGCGUGGGGAGCAAACAGG
rnacentral:rRNA from 1 species